rnacentral:rRNA from 1 species
UACGAAGGGGGCUAGCGUUGCUCGGAAUUACUGGGCGUAAAGCGUGCGCAGGCGGCUUUGCAAGACAGAUGUGAAAUCCCCGGGCUUAACCUGGGAACUGCAUUUGUGACUGCAUAGCUAGAGUACGGUAGAGGGGGAUGGAAUUCCGCGUGUAGCAGUGAAAUGCGUAGAUAUGCGGAGGAACACCGAUGGCGAAGGCAAUCCCCUGGACCUGUACUGACGCUCAUGCACGAAAGCGUGGGGAGCAAACAGG